GCCCCUACAAACCCACAAAAACAUGUAAAAGCCCAAAAAAGGGGAAGUUAUCCCAUCUUCUCCACCGUUUGGUAGAGGAGGAGUUUGUAAGAAGAUCCGGCAUAAAAUUCUCGGAUCUCGCGGAUAUUGACAUUAGAAUCGGCGAUUCUUGCAAUCCACUAUCCCACAAAAUUUGUGGUAUUAUUUUUUCUCCACUUCUCCGACUUGUCUUGUGGAGUUUUAUGCCCAAAUUGCCCUCUUAAUUUUCGAUCGCUUCAUACACAGAGGGAGCACCAGAAACUCCUUGGUGGCGGUAAAUCGAGGUCUCGGACCAGCACAGGAAAGAAUCUAUAUAUAGAUGGAGGAAGGUGAGGAUUCAAGAAAAUGGGAUGAAUUACUACCUGAUGCACUAGGCUAAUAUUCAAGAAUCUCUCACUAUGUGAGGUUUCCAAGAGUUUGCAAAUCAUGGGGACGAGCAGCCACGGGGCCUUACUGCUUGCAAGAGAUCGACGUUGAGGAAUGGAGUCGAAACAGGAAGCCGGAGGUCGUGGAUAGAAUGCUCCGAUUGCUAAUAGCAAGAAGUUGUGGCUCUCUCCGAAAGCUCACUGUCUCUGGCCUCUCCUUGGACAAAACCCUUUUGUUCAUAGCAGAUCAGUAACUCAUGGUCGAUCUCUGCGAAGUUUGAGACUGUUGCGAAAUGCACGACGCAGUAGUGGGGAAGGCUGCUGCAAUGCUGUGUGUACGCAAACGACCGACAUAUGAGGAGUGGUGAAAGAGAUACAACGAUACCAGACGGACUUCCAUUGCAUGUGAGCUUUCGCUUUCCCUUCGAAGCCAUUGAAACAACUUCAGUCGGAGGAUGCUAUUCAGCAUGGAUUUUCAAUGAAAGCAAAGGAUGGUGCAAGUGCUUAUAUGAAGGGAAAGGGGAGAAGUUGGCGCCCAUGCGAGAAGAUUUCUGCGCCAAGCUGAAGAUUUGCAAAGACAACGGAGGAUAAAGGGGACAUUACAUCUUAAAAAGUGGGGGCAUUUUUGUAUUCACAGGGCAUAAUAUAACUUUCCACUGUAAUGACUAGUCCUACCAAACAAUGAAUUAAGCCACAAAAAAUUUCUACCAAA